rnacentral:misc_RNA from 1 species
AGCAGCCGCGGUAAUUCCAGCUCCAAUAGCGUAUAUUAAAGUUGUUGCAGUUAAAAAGCUCGUAGUUGAAUUUCGGGAUCAAUAUGUUGGUCGUGCCUUGGUACGUACUGGCAUUAUUGGUUUCUACCUUCUGUAAGAACCUCGAUGUCAUUAAUUUGGUGUCUUGGGGAAUCAGGACUGUUACUUUGAAAAAAUUGAGUGUUUAAAGCAGGCUCGCGCUUGAAUACAUUAGCAUGGAAUAAUGAAAUAGGACGUUUGAUUCUAUUUUGUUGGUUUCUAGGAUCGACGUAAUGAUUAAUAGGGAUAGUUGGGGGCAUUAGUAUUCAAUUGUCAGAGGUGAAAUUCUGGAUUUAUUGAAGACUAACUACUGCGAAAGCAUUUGCCAAGGAUGUUUUCAUUAAUCAAGAACGAAGUUAGGGGAUCGAAGACGAUCAGAUACCGUCGUAGUCUUAACCAUAAACCUAUGCCGACUAGGGAUCGGAUGAUGUACAUUUUAAUGA